UCUAGAAUUCAUGAUAUGAGCUGAACACUAAACAAUGUCUGGGCUGCAGACAAGUUCAGACUCUUUUUUUGUUGCUAAGAUUUGAGCUCGAAAAUGGCAGCUUCAAAUCUUGGACUCUUCAUGAAUGUUUUAGGCAUAUGUCUUAGUUUUCCAUC
rnacentral:pre_miRNA from 1 species